GACGAACGCUGGCGGCGUGCUUAACACAUGCAAGUCGAACGAAGUGGCGAACGGGUGAGUAACGCGUAAUCAACCUGCCCUUCAGAGGGGGACAACAGUUGGAAACGACUGCUAAUACCGCAUACUGAAGGAGGGGAUUGCGUCUGAUUAGCUAGUUGGAGGGGUAACGGCCCACCAAGGCGAUGAUCAGUAGCCGGGGCGGGAGGAGGAACGGCCAGAUUGGGAAUGGGAAACGGCCCAGACUCCUAAGGGAGGCAGCAGUGGGGAAACUUCCGCAAUGGAGGAAAGUCUGACGGAGCAACGCCGCGUGAGUGAUGACGGCCUUCGGGUUGGAAAGGUCUGUUAAGCGGGACGCGGUACCGGAAUAGAAAGCCACGGCUAACUACGUGCCAGCCGCCGCGGUAAUAC
rnacentral:rRNA from 1 species